GAUGAACGCUAGCGGCAGGCCUAAUACAUGCAAGUCGAGGGGUAACAGGUGUAGCAAUACAUGCUGACGACCGGCGCACGGGUGCGUAACACGUAUGUAAUCUACCUUUAACUGGAAGAUAGCCCGAAGAAAUUCGGAUUAAUAUUCCAUAAUAUAAUGAAGAGGCAUCUCUUUAUUAUUAAAGCUCCGGCGGUUAAGGAUGAACAUGCGUCUGAUUAGCUAGUUGGCGGGGUAACGGCCCACCAAGGCAACGAUCAGUAGGGGAUCUGAGAGGAUGAUCCCCCACACUGGUACUGAGACACGGACCAGACUCCUACGGGAGGCAGCAGUAAGGAAUAUUGGACAAUGGGGGCAACCCUGAUCCAGCCAUGCCGCGUGAAGGAUGAAGGCGCUAUGCGUCGUAAACUUCUUUUGAACGGGAGAAACCCCGGGUACGUGUACCCGGUUGAUAGUACCGUUAGAAUAAGGGACGGCUAACUUCGUGCCAGCAGCCGCGGUAAU
rnacentral:rRNA from 1 species